UUGUUGUUGUUGCCUCCACAUCAACACACAGCAGGGAGAUAGAGAGAGGAGUAAGAGAGACAAAGUAGAGAGGUAGAGAGAACUGAGCGACUGUGAUGGAGGAACCGGCGCCAACCGCCAUCGAGGAAGCGGGAACUGUUGUUCCGACGUCACCAACCGCCACCGACUGAACCAGAGUCUGUGAUGACGAUGGCGAGUUCUAGAGUCCCGAUCUCUCAAUUGGUCGCCGGUUGUGGCUUCUCCAUGGUGGUCGGUCAGUUAACGGGGAUAUCCGACAAUACCCACCAAAAACCACCGCUGGUGCUUUGACAUAGACAAUACAAAUAUGAGCCCUAGAUUUGCACAGCAAAAAUAAGGAGCGACAGAACACGUUGGUGAGCACUCCGGCGAUGGCGGUUUGGACCUGAACCAGGGACAGCGUGUCCUUGCACUGCCACUGCUUCCUCCUCCCUCUCCACCACGCCACUGACUUCACUCCGGCGAUGGCGGUUUGGAAUUGAAUCAGCGACGUCGUCUCCUCCUUCUCCACCACGCAGCCGAUGGUGUUUUUUUGUUGAGAAGUGGCGGUGGUGUUCUUUAAACACAUUGCAGGCAUAUAACAUUUCAAAUUUUCUUUCCCCUGGUUGAUAAUAUCUGUUCAAUAAGUGUUUGUGUUUUCGUGAUUACAGUAGAUGUUAGGGAUUUGUUUUGAAACCUUUUGUUUUGUCGAUGUUAUGCAAUUAGCUUUCAUUUUAUUGGAAUUCAUAUAUUUUUGCUUUUAAUCACCAGGUGUUAUAUCCAAGAUUAAACGAGGCAAAGGAAAAUUUAUAGUUAUAAUUUUAUUGGAAUUUAUAUUCUGAUGGAUGGCUUUGUUUUUGGUAUAUGAUAAUGAUUUGAAAAUUUAUAGUUAUAGUGUAGUUAUUGAUCUAUAUAAGACCAAUUUAAAUUGUCAUAGAUUUUAUAAUUACAUAUUUGAGCAUUAUCAUCGUUACAAAUCACUUGAGCAAAUCCAAAUAUCCAUUUCACUUUGUUAAUUUUUCAAAAAGAGGACUAGCCCAUUGGAAUUUAUAAAGCAAUCUACAGGCUGUGAUGACGAUUCCUGUUCAGAAGAUGAAUCAAUGGAGAUGGCGGAUGAACUAGACCCAUCUUCAAACCUCUCUGGUUCCACAUGGAUAAAUGCAACAAUGGUCGACACUUUUUUCAGUUUAACCAGUGUGUAGAUAGGGAACAUGCAUGUGUUUUGAGGCUGUUUAAGAGACUGGUUUGGACUGAUCAUCCGAGUCUGACUAAGAGCUGGUGUCUAACAUGGUUGUUUCGGACUUCAAAUCCAAUGAAAAUCAAGGUCCACCUUCUCUGUCAACGGGUCAUAACAAAAGGGUCAUCAAGUUAAGAGACGGUUUAUAGUGUUAGGGUUAUUGGUAUGUGUAUGUCCGCUGAUGAUGAUAAAAUAACCUAUAACAGGCAUGUGGGGUGAUGGAUCAGAUCAGAUGGCUUCUGCAUGUGGCAAAGCUAACAAGUGCUUUUUGCAAAUAGUUUUCUAGGCACAUGAUUCCAACAUCAAGCAAGAAUUUCUUGUCAUGUAGGUUGGAAAAGGUGUCAAGAGACUAAUUCGUGCUUUAGUUCAGCUUAUUGGAAGAUAGACAUGCCAAGACGGUUAUUUUAACACUAAAUUAAACUACGCUUUGUAUUUAUCCUUCACAAAGUACGUGUUGGCACAGUUUCACGCCCCCCCCCCCCCCCCCCGCAACGCGGGGGAGCUUAAUCCUAGUUAUUAUUAUGUACAAGAAAAGGUGCAAUUAGCUAUGCAUGACAUAGUUUAACCCUUCACUAACGUCUUCUAGAUGGUACACUAACCCCAGCCAGUUAAGACCUUAUUUAACCAUGGUUAGGUCUACUGAACGCUAUAUAAACUCAACGUCUCGGGCUACUUAACUCAUUCAUUCUUCAUUCUCACACACACCUUCAAAGGUUCAAAUUCUCUCUUCACAAGCUCUAACAGUGGUAAACUGAUCUUCUUCAUAUUUUGCUUUAACUUACUUCGCUUGCAUUCGAAUGAAAUUUCUGAUGAAUAUGAUACGUUUC